UACGAAGGGUCCAAGCGUUAUCCGGAUUUAUUGGGUUUAAAGGGUGCGUAGGCGGUUUAUUAAGUCAGUGGUGAAAGACUUCAGCUUAACUGAAGAACUGCCGUUGAUACUGAUGAGCUUGAAUGUAGUUGAGGUGGGCGGAAUGUGUCAUGUAGCGGUGAAAUGCUUAGAUAUGACACAGAACACCGAUUGCGAAGGCAGCUCGCUAAACUAUGAUUGACGCUGAUGCACGAAAGCGUGGGGAGCAAACAGG
rnacentral:rRNA from 1 species